ensembl:lncRNA
CGCAUGCUCUCGUAGGCAUGUUAAGAAUUUUGGAUUUUAUCCUUAGAACAAUGAGAACCUUCUGAAGGUUUUAAGCACCAGUGUAGCUGGAGGGUGGAGGGUGGGGCGGGGGGUGGAGAAGAAAUUGGAGGAAGAGCAUGUGGAGAAUAUAUGAGACUAGUGUUCAGAACCGUUUGGACCUGGAGACGAAGACAGAGAACUAACUGGCCGGGAGAAAGAAGGUCUAACCCAGGGCCUGGCUGAGAUUCCGCUGGCAAAGACUGGGCAGAGACAGGACUCUUGUGAGAUAGAGUGCAAUCAGCAACGAAAGCUGAGGGGAGAGAGCCAGGGGCCUGGGAAACCAUCAGGAAGUUAUCAUCUUCGAUGAGAAGCAAGAUCACUUCCCUUUAGAAAUACCCAAGGCCCAAUUAAAGCAAAUCUACCUACUCGCAAAGAAGUAUUCAAACUGAAUCCCCGCAAAGAACAGAACAGCCUGGUUUUAAAAAAAGAGAACCUAAGGGAAGAGAGUCUUCUUUGCCAAGUAAACUCUCCGCCUCAGCCUGGGCCCCGCUGGUUACAGAAAUGACAUUAGACACACACACAAUGGUAAUACCACUCAAGAACGGCUGCAUUUAAUACCUGUCUCCACGGAGCUCAAAUUCACUUUUACGGCCUGUUUGUGGGCAAGAAGGAGGAUUCGAGCGAUGGUUACUUCCUCUAAGAGCUUUUCUAUUGCUUCACGCCCCAAAUUAACAGGCUCCAUACAGCCUCCCUCCCAGCGCCCCAGGACCCACUAAACAGACAAAGACCACACUGACUCCAGCCCAGCGUCUCCAGCACUGCAGGCAGUGUGUUGCCAGUAGUGGUGCAGCAUGCAGGAUCUGAGUUCCCUUACCAGGGAUCAAACCCAUACCAUCUGCAGUGGAAGGAUGGAACUGUAACCACCAGACCACCAGGGAAUUCCCUGAUUGUUCUACGUUGAUAAAACUCAUGUUAUUGAGAAGAAAGAAAAAAAAAAGAACUUUGUUGUUGUCUACUCUUCAUGCUUCUGGAAUACCCUGCUCACUCCCACCUUCCUUCCCCCUCUCCCAACAAGGGAUGGGAACUCUGUUUGCAUAUUUUAUUAUUAUUUCACGUCAUUGGAAUGAGAGUCUCAGCAAACACACUUUCUCUUGUGGAAUUCCCUAAUAAAAACAGACAGCUUGUUUUGAACAAGCAGCCUCUGGAACAGGAGAAGCAGCAGAAGCUGGUGCAGGAGCUGACUGGGUUUUUCCUCUUGCCUCACAGAUGUCUUUAUCAUCUGAAUAUACACUCCCAGCCCCCAGGGCCAUGAGAGAACUUACAAAGCAAGUUUUCAAAAAUAUUUAUUAUUUAUUUGGCUAUGCUGGGUCUUAGUUGUGGCAUGUGGGAUCUAGUUCCCUGACCAGUGAUUGAACCCGAGUCCCCUGCAUUGGGAGCAUGGAGUCUUAGCCACAGGACCAUUAGGGAAGUCCGUAUAAAGCAAUUUUGGAUUCUUUGAAAUAGAGGGACUUAAUUUGUCACAUGGUUUUGACAAUUUCUUGCUUCAAGUACCAUUUCCUACAACAGGAUAGCAUCAAUUUGUGCAGAGUCCUACAUGGACCUGAAAUUUAACUGAGAAAGGCACCCAGUCCUGACGACUCUUGUUAACCAGCAGUGUUCUCGUGGCUACCAGCUUGCAGAGAAACCCAAGGACAUGCCAGAUUUACCUCCUCCCGGAGGAAGUGGUUGAGAAAUCCAUCUUCUUUUCAUUAUGAUGAGGGAAUGAGAAACAUGCCGUCCUGAAGAAGUACUAGGGGGACUUCUGUGUCUCCCCAGCACCAUCCCGAGGGCAAGGUGAACACAGCAGUGAUCGACGGCAGUGGUGGAGACCUGCUGUCAGCUUAUCUGUCUACCAGCUCCUGUGAAAGCAAGCCAAAGAACAAGCCAUAAGUCUACGAGCCAUUCAUGAACUCCUUUCUGCUUUGAAAAUGUAGUUCAUGCUUUCUAACUGUCAUUAUUAUGACAUGGAUGAGGCUUCCCUCAUAGCUCAGUCAGUAAAGAAUCUGCCUGCAGUGCAGGAGACCGGGGUUUGAUUCCUAGGUUGGGAAGAUCCCCUGGAGAAGGAAAUGGCAGCCCACUCCAGUAUUCUUGCCUGGAGAAUCCCAUAGACAGAGGAGUCUGGCAGGCUACAGUCCAUGGGGUCGCAGGAGUUGGACACGACUUAGAGACUAAACCAUCAACCGUGACAUGAAUGCUCAUUGAAUACUGGCUCUUGAUGAUUACAAUGACCUUGUCCUUGGGCAUACUGGAAGCAGGACAUGGCCUUCCUCCUUCCAUCCUCAUCUCUUCCCAGUCCCAGAAAUCACACAAUCAAUAACGGUCAUCUGUUGCUAAGAACUUAAGCUGUGAACUUUCUUGGGAGAUAUUUGUACUUUAAUUGUAAACCUAAUAAUGCCUUCGAGAAGCAGAGGAAUGAUGCUACCCAAUGGAUCACAGACACUCAUAGAAGCAAGGAGGCAAUCUGACUGAGGAGACCUCUCUGGAGCUCUUCAAUGCUCCCAACAGGUCCACCCUGAUGGUACACAUUUAUAUGAGAAAACACUGUAGCUGUCACUAAUUCCUUUCCUGUUGACACCUUGACCUGAGCUGUUAUUUAACUGCAAAGUACACUUGGUGGUAAACUGUAUAUAUUUCCUCAGUUGCUGUGAAUUCUGACUCAAGCUAAUUCAGGCUAGCUUAAUGAAACAAGAACCAGGAAAGCAAAAGCUUUCUGGCAGUUGCCUUGUGUACUGAUGUAGAGCUUGGGCCUCCCUGGUGGCUCAGCUGGUAAAGAAUCCGCUUGCAAUGCGGGAGACCUGGGUUUGAUCCCUGGCUUGGGAAGAUCCCCUGGAGAAGGGAAAGGCUACCCACUCCAGCAUUCUGGCCUGGAGAAUUCCAUGGACUGUGUAGUCCAUGGGGUCGUAAAGAGAUGCCCACGACUAAGUGACUUUCACUUUCACAGAGGGCAACUGAUGCAAUAUGAACUCAGGGAAUUCCCACAUGGAGAGAAGCAGAUGAGGGCUGCCCAGAUGUAAAGGGAACAUGAAAGGGACAAGGCCCGACGGUCAGAGGGCAGAACCUCACCCAGCACCGCACAUCCUCCCUUCAUCCCAGCUCAGCCCAGGAAAGGCUGUCUCUGCUCAGUGCUUGGGGCUGGCCUUCAGGCCACCAGACAUGCUUCUCAUUCUACAGUUUCCUUCGGAACUGCCCCCAAAUCAACAGUCUCAUCCUUGACUUAGGCUUCAGAAUAUAAAGGAACGGCUUAUACUAGACCAGCCCUUGUGAUGGCCAAAAAAAAAAAAAUAAAGCUAGCAGGAUAUCCAGAUGAAACUUUAUGCACACACACUCAUAUGCUUCAGUUCAGUCGCUCAGUUGUCUCCGACUCUUUGCGACCCCAUGAAUCGCAGCACACCAGGCCUCCCUGUCC